rnacentral:rRNA from 1 species
UGCCAGCCGCCGCGGUAAUACGGAGGGUGCAAGCGUUGUUCGGAAUUAUUGGGCGUAAAGCGCGUGUAGGCGGUUCGUUAAGUCUGAUGUGAAAGCCCGGGGCUCAACCUUGGAACUGCAUUUAAUACUGCCAGACUUGAGGUCGGAAGAGGAAAGCAGAAUUUCUAGUGUAGAGGUGAAAUUCGUAGAUAUUAGAAGGAACAUCAGAGGCGAAGGCGGCUUUCUGGUCCGAUACUGACGCUGAGGUGCGAAAGCGUGGGGAGCGAACAGGAUUAGAUA